CUUUGGCGAUCUCUCGAACCCUUGAGGGGUGUUUCCACUUCUUGUUUGAGGGGCGUUUCCACUUCUGGUUUGAGAGAGGAAUGGUUGCCAUUAUGUUCUGAAGCUUAAGACUUUUCCAUGAGCUUGACGGCGACGAGGGUGCCGAUGGGGCCAAAGCCUCCGUGGCUGAGGCUCGUGUAGAAGGAGUUGGUGGCACGGCGGAGGACGGAGAAGGAGAGGCGGUGCAGCAGGGAGGUGGUGGCCGAAGAAGGGGGGUAAAUCCUUUCUCGCUUACGGAAUCUGCACUUGCAGAUUAUUCUCCAUGACAUGUUUUGAUUCGUAAAGUAUGCGCAAUGAAACGAGGCAUGACAAAAGUGGCUAAACCAAUUUCUGUGCCCUCAAGCUCUCACCAACUUUGCUCCGGACCUUCGAAAACUGGAUCUAUGGCUAGAAAGAAGACACCGUCAGAACUUAGGAUUUGAGGAACAGGAAGCCUCGGGGUAUUUGUCGCAGAACAAGAACAGAAGAGGAGUAUUUAAUUUCAUUUGAGUACUCUUCCUGCUAAAUUGAUGGAAAACUUGAAUUGACAAUGGUAUGCUCAAGAUGAGGAAGCUGCUGAUGAUCAAGAGGAGACAGGAUGGAAGUACAUUCAUGGGGAUGUUUUCCGGUUUCCAAAGUACAAGUUUUUCUUUUCAGCAGCCCUUGGUUCUGGUACUCAAUUAUUCACUCUGUAAGAAUCUUCUAAUUGCUCUUUCUCCCAGUGUUGAUUUUUUUUUCCAUUUUCUAUAUUAUAGUGAAUUUCUUUAUGCUUGUGCAGUACAAUCUUUAUGCUUGUGUAAUGUGAUUUUCACUAGAAAUAAUAUUAUCUACUCCGAUAUUAGUAAUUCAGUUAGUUUUCAUAUUGUCCUUGGUUUAAAGGAUAUGGUCAAUGGCUAGGAAAAGAGGGGGAAAUUUAAAGAAGUUGUAGGCAUAUUUAUAUUUUUACUACUAAUUAGAAAACAAGAAAUAAGUUCUCUAUCUUCACUACUUUGUCCACAAAAUAUCAAAAAAUUCUUUAUUAUAUUCACACUUAUAUUUUUUGAAUAAAAUAUUUAAAAUUAUAGUAUAAAUAUUAAAUUUUAAUUACUAUUAUCUAAAAGUUGUAAUUUUGUAACAUGGUUAUUCUGCAUGUAAUUUUGUAACAUGUUAUUCUGGAUGUUAGUUAUGUCUCUCUGUUUUUUUCCCUCUCCUUGUACUUGUUCUCUUUUUUCUCCCUUUCCAUUACCCAUUCUGGCACACGAGUUUAAUUCAUCAACUGGCUACAAUUUAGUUUGGGAUUUUAAGAUUUUUACCAUAGAUACUUGAUCUGUCAAUUUUCUGUAAAAUGACUAUGAAUCAUGUAUAUUAUCUCAGUUGACUUGAACCAGAGUUUUUGUAGAAUACAACAGUGUUUCUUGUUUGAUUGAAUAAAUAGACAGUACUUGUGUAUUAGACUGUAUUAUGUCCAAAUAGACUUCCUAUUAGUCAUAUUAUAUCUUCUCAAACAAGCAGAUAAGUGUCCAGGCAAUCAUAAUAACAUUAGUUUUCUUACCUA